rnacentral:lncRNA from 1 species
CCGCCGGCCAAGGGGCCCAAGCCGGAGAAGCCCCCGACCAAGGGCCACGGCCACAAGCCGGAGAAGCCGCCCAAGGAGCACAAGCCGACUCCGCCCACCUACACCCCGAGCCCCAAGCCCACGCCGCCGCCGGCUACUCCCAAGCCGACGCCGCCCACCUACACGCCGAGCCCUAAGCCCAAGUCGCCGGUCUACCCUCCCCCGCCGAAAGCCAGUACUCCUCCGACCUACACCCCGAGCCCCAAGCCUCCGGCGACCAAGCCGCCUACCUACCCGACCCCCAAGCCACCAGCUACCAAGCCUCCGACACCUCCUGUGUACACUCCGAGCCCCAAACCACCGGUUACAAAGCCUCCUACACCCAAGCCGACCCCGCCGGUGUACACGCCGAACCCCAAGCCACCGGUUACCAAGCCUCCGACACACACGCCGAGCCCCAAGCCUCCGACAUCCAAGCCGACUCCGCCGGUGUACACACCGAGCCCCAAGCCACCGAAGCCGUCCCCGCCGACGUACACGCCGACCCCGAAGCCACCGGCUACCAAGCCGCCCACCUCAACUCCGACGCACCCUAAGCCGACGCCGCACACGCCUAUCCCCAAGCCCACGCCGCCAACCUACAAGCCGGCAC